rnacentral:rRNA from 1 species
AGAGUUUGAUCCUGGCUCAGGACGAACGCUGGCGGCGUGCCUAAUACAUGCAAGUCGAGCGAAUCACAAGGUGCUUGCACCUUAUGGUUAGCGGCGGACGGGUGAGUAACACGUGGGCAACCUGCCUGUAAGACUGGGAUAACUUCGGGAAACCGGAGCUAAUACCGGAUAAUCCUUUUCCUCUCAUGAGGAAAAGCUGAAAGUCGGUUUACGCUGACACUUACAGAUGGGCCCGCGGCGCAUUAGCUAGUUGGUGAGGUAACGGCUCACCAAGGCGACGAUCCGUAGCCGGCCUGAGAGGGCGGUCGGCCACACUGACACUGACACACGGGUCAGACUCCUACGGGAGGCAGCAGUCGGGAAUUUUGGGCAAUGGGCGAAAGCCUGACCCAGCAACGCCGCGUGAAGGAUGAAGUUUUUCGGAAUGUAAACUUCACAAGAAUGGGAAGAAUAAGAAGGGGUUAAUACCCCCUUCGAUGACGGUACCAUUUGUAAGCUCCGGCUAACUCCGUGCCAGCAGCCGCGGUAAUACGGGGGGAGCAAGCGUUGUUCGGAUUUACUGGGCGUAAAGGGCGCAUAGGCGGCGCAACAAGUCACUUGUGAAAUCUCCGGGCUUAACUCGGAGCGGCCAAGUGAUACUGUCGUGCUAGAGUGCGGAAGGGGCAACUGGAAUUCUCGGUGUAGCGGUGAAAUGCGUAGAUAUCGAGAGGAACACCUGCGGCGAAGGCGGGUUGCUGGGCCGACACUGACGCUGAGGCGCGAAAGCCAGGGGAGCGAACGGGAUUAGAUACCCCGGUAGUCC